AAGCACUUAUGAAGAUUCUUCGGAUGAAUCAUUUGUGACUGAGCGCCGGACGGGUGAGUAACGCGUGAGUAACCUGCCUCAUACAGGGGAAUAACAGUUAGAAAUGACUGCUAAUGCCGCAUAAGCGCACAGGGCCGCAUGGCCCGGUGUGAAAAACUCCGGUGGUAUGAGAUGGACUCGCGUUUGAUUAGCUAGUUGGUGAGGUAACGGCCCACCAAGGCAACGAUCAGUAGCCGGCCUGAGAGGGUGAACGGCCACAUUGGGACUGAGACACGGCCCAAACUCCUACGGGAGGCAGCAGUGGGGAAUAUUGCACAAUGGGGGAAACCCUGAUGCAGCGACGCCGCGUGAGUGAAGAAGUAUUUCGGUAUGUAAAGCUCUAUCAGCAGGGAAGAAAAUGA
rnacentral:rRNA from 1 species